UACGUAGGGGGCUAGCGUUGUCCGGAUUUAUUGGGCGUAAAGAGCGUGUAGGCGGCCAGGUAGGUCUGCUGUGAAAACUCGAGGCUCAACCUCGAGACGUCGGCGGAAACCAUCUGGCUAGAGUCCGGAAGAGGAGAAUGGAAUUCCUGGUGUAGCGGUGAAAUGCGCAGAUAUCAGGAAGAACACCCGUGGCGAAGGCGGUUCUCUGGGACGGUACUGACGCUGAGACGCGAAAGCGUGGGGAGCGAACAGG
rnacentral:rRNA from 1 species